ensembl:lncRNA
UCAGAUGUGUUCUGUCCAGUGAAGGCAGUGGAGAAGCCCUACACUGAUCUUGAAACUGUGCCACGCUACUAGAAACCGGCUACAAGGAUGGGCAGCUGUUUUCGCAAAGUCAGCCAACCACUUGCUUCCAAAUGACCCUUAUCCAGAAGUAUCCGUGAGUGCCUCAUCAACAGAAACUAAAGUGGAGAGCUACCUCUCAGAGAAAAACGCACACAUAAGAAAAGCCAACCCACUUCAGUACUGGGAAGAACCUCCUAAUCUGUUUCCCUCUAUGGCUGCUGUUGCGAUCCCAGUGUGCCCCCUGUAGCUCUGUGGACAGUUUUGGAUUUGUUUACAUCUCACCCAACCGCUCACGGCAGAUGGCUGCACCUCUCUAAGCCUGGUUCUGCCGGAGGUUUCUUCCUGUUAAAAGGGAGUUUUUCUGAACACACUCUACCACCAACAAGGACAGCUCACCAGUGGGAACUGAUAGAUAAGACUGCUGAUGUGCUCUCAUCCAUUGAAGAGCUGACCAGAAACGUGAACAGAGAGACUGCAACUGCACCUGAUGGGAUCCCUGCCAUAACAGAUGUGUUCUGUCCAGUGAAGGCAGUGGAGAAGCCCUACACUGAUCUUGAAACUGUGCCACGCUACUAGAAACCGGCUACAAGGAUGGGCAGCUGUUUUCGCAAAGUCAGCCAACCACUUGCUUCCAAAUGACCCUUAUCCAGAAGUAUCCGUGAGUGCCUCAUCAACAGAAACUAAAGUGGAGACCUACCUCUCAGAGAAAAACGCACACAUAAGAAAAGCCGACCAACUUCAGUACUGGGAAGAACCUCCUAAUCUGUUUCCCUCUAUGGCUGCUGUUGCGAUCCCAGUGUGCCCCCUGUAGCUCUGUGGACAGUUUUGGAUUUGUUUACAUCUCACCCCAACCGGUCA